CUAAUACUCUAUACUCCUGUCUUACAUAAGUUAGAUAGGGAAAGUUUUUCGGUGUAGGAUGAGGCUAUAUUGUAUCAGCUAGUUGGUGAGGUAAUGGCUCACCAAGGCUAUGACGCAUAACUGGUCUGAGAGGAUGAUCAGUCACACUGGAACUGAGACACGGUCCAGACUCCUACGGGAGGCAGCAGUAGGGAAUAUUGCUCAAUGGGGGAAACCCUGAAGCAGCAACGCCGCGUGGAGGAUGACACUUUUCGGAGCGUAAACUCCUUUUGUUAGGGAAGAAUAAUGACGGUACCUAACGAAUAAGCACCGGCUAACUCCGUGCCAGCAGCCGCGGUAAUACGGAGGGUGCAAGCGUUACUCGGAAUCACUGGGCGUAAAGGACGCGUAGGCGGAUUAUCAAGUCUCUUGUGAAAUCCUAUGGCUUAACCAUAGAACUGCUUGGGAAACUGAUAAUCUAGAGUGAGGGAGAGGCAGAUGGAAUUGGUGGUGUAGGGGUAAAAUCCGUAGAGAUCACCAGGAAUACCCAUUGCGAAGGCGAUCUGCUGGAACUCAACUGACGCUAAUGCGUGAAAGCGUGGGGAGCAAACAGGAUUAGAUACCCUGGUAGUCCACGCCCUAAACGAUGUAUACUAGUUGUUGCUAAGCUAGUCUUGGCAGUAAUGCACCUAACGGAUUAAGUAUACCGCCUGGGGAGUACGGUCGCAAGAUUAAAACUCAAAGGAAUAGACGGGGACCCGCACAAGCGGUGGAGCAUGUGGUUUAAUUCGAAGAUACGCGAAGAACCUUACCCGGACUUGAUAUCUAACAAAUCAUCCAGAGAUGGAAGAGUGUCUGCUUGCAGAAAUGUUAAGACAGGUGCUGCACGGCUGUCGUCAGCUCGUGUCGUGAGAUGUUGGGUUAAGUCCCGCAACGAGCGCAACCCACGUCAUUAGUUGCUAACAGUUCGGCUGAGCACUCUAAUGAGACUGCCUUCGUAAGGAGGAGGAAGGUGUGGACGACGUCAAGUCAUCAUGGCCCUUAUGUCCGGGGCGACACACGUGCUACAAUGGCAUAUACAAUGAGACGCAAUAUCGCGAGA
rnacentral:rRNA from 1 species